CUGUCUCAGAGUAUAGAAGAAGAAGCUUGAUGUUUGUUCUGAGGCAGUUUAUUCUUUCACAGCUCAAGUCCUGUGGCUGUAAUCACAUGUGUGUGUGUGUUUUUAUCAUUCACACACACGUCACAUUUCACAGAAAUCACUGCACCCCCACUGGAUCAACACCGCUCAUCCGACACUAAAACUGCCCACCUAAAAAUACAGAGAAGAAGAUGAUCACCUUAAGCAGUCCCACCCGCCCUCUCAGCCACACCACCCCGAGAGCUCACUGUAACACCCCUCUGCUGCAGCAGGCCGGAGACCACACCCCCGCCACAUAGAUCAUAUCACAACUGUGAGAUAAAAGUGAAAGAGCAGCUCACAGAUCAGUGGGAAGUCACAUCAGGAGAACAUUAAGUAUUUGUAGCAUGUGAUUCCCUUGUGUUUUCAGUCUGUGAAACAGCUGUUUGUCCCUUCACCAGGCAGUGAUGGCAGCAGCAGCGUUCAGGAGCAGAGGACUGGCUGGUGUCAGAAACAGCAACGUUUUAAUCCUCAUCUUUCUGCUGUCCCUGGUUUAUGUCACAAAUUCACUGAUGAAAAUUCAUUGAGAGUAACAAACUAGAGACUACAUCCAAAUAUGCCUUCAGAGGACUCAGGGACCUGACUCACUUGUCUUUGGCAAACAAUAACAUUAAAGCCUUGCCCAGGGACCUCUUCAUUGACCUUGACUCCCUUAUAGAGCUGUGAGUUUGUACAUAGUAAU